UUUACAAUGGAGAGUUUGAUCCUGGCUCAGGAUGAACGCUAGCGGCAGGCUUAAUACAUGCAAGGCGAAGGGGCAGCAAUGUCA
rnacentral:rRNA from 1 species